UGCCAAAACCAAAGGGCACUUGGUUUCUUGUUUGUUUUUUUGUUUGGAAUUGGUCAGUUCUGCCAUGAGUGAUGGUUUGGGAAAACCAAAAAAUCCAACAUAACUGCCAAUGCCAUCUCACUAAAUCAAAAGCAAGCAGGCAUCACAUGCGGUGUUUUUAAUUUCUAUGAAUGCCUACGUGCCGAAGUGAAAGAAAUAUAUGAGAGAUGUACUAUGAUUCACAUGUGACACCCAAUCACAAUCAUGCUACAGUAACAAGACGCAACGCACUUCAAUCUUAUAUAUUCAACCACCCCCUCACCCCUACUUCCCCACUGCCUCCAGAUCAAAACUCCCUCUCUCUCUCUCUCUCUCUCUCUCUCUCUCUCUCUUCAGCAAGCAACCAUCUUGAGAUGAAGGCCAUGAAAAAGAAAAAGAAAAAGAAGAGGCAUGAUAUCGUGGGUUAGCAGAAAGUUGGAAUGAGAGGAAUCGGUAAAAAGUGCAAACAACACGAUGCCAAAAGAAGAAACCUACAUGCAGCAACCAAACGGAGAAUGAUUGCACAGCAAACAACACGAUGCCAAAAGAAGAAACCUACAUGCAGCAACCAAACGGAGAAUGAUUGCACAGCAAACAACACGUGAGCAGAAGAUGUAGUUGCAGCUAAAGUAAUUAAAGAAGAACAACUGGAAAUAAACAAAAUAAAACAAAGAGCUUGUAGGCAUGUGAAGAUUGGCAGCAGUACAGAAGAAAGAGAAAAGCAAGAGCAUUGGCUCCCUUUGCUCUCUAUAAAUAGGGAACUCAAUAAGAGGAUGGGGAAAGAUGAGUGUGCAGAUUUUGGUGAAGACUUGGGCACCAAAUAGAGUUAGAGUUAGAGACCCUGGGGAUCCGAGAGGCAAGGAUCCGGGGGCAUCUACUAUUCUAGUUUUCCUUUUAAUUUCUCAAUUGUUGUAAUAAAAUUAGUUUGCUAGAUUUUCCUUUAUGUUUUUUUUUAGUUGUAUUUUAUUUUUCAUUGUCAUGUAAUUUCUUAUUCUUAAGUUUUCAAGUUUGAAUAGUUUCCAAGUUUCAAUUACGUUUCUUGUUCUUAUUUAUUAUGCUUAUAAGUUAAUAUGCUUGUUUGAAUGAUUGAUCACCAUUAAGACUUGUAUGUUAGCUACCUUGGUUGGAAUUAAGAGUAGACACCAUAUGCCU